UCUGGGGAUCCCAGGGGUCACUCAGGGGUCACUCAGGGACACUCAGGGGUCACUCAGGGUCACUCAGAGGUCACUCAGGGUCACUCAGAGGUCACUCAGGGAUCACUCAGGGUCACUCAGGGGUCACUCAGGGGUCACUCAGGGGUCACUCCGUGUCACUCAGAGGUCACUCA